rnacentral:sRNA from 1 species
AGUUGGAUGCUGAAACUUGCAGUCACACAAGGACUUGAACCUAGAGCUUUUCUAAAGCCCGUACUCUUUCCAGUACCCUGAGCCAGGGGAGCCAGCGGGCAGAAAUGACGUGUGAGGUACCCUCUUUCCCUUCACUUCCAUGUGAUCUGUUACUCAUUUUGUCAAGACAUCCUGGGUCCCAGGUGCCAGGUGCUACACAAGAUACUGGCUAUAGCAGCGAACAGGACAGCCCGUCUCAUCCUCAUGGAGGUCACAGGACAAUGAGAAGAAAGACUUUUUUAUUUUUAUUUUUUUGAGACGGAGUUUUGCUCUUGUUGCCGAGGCUGGAGUGCAGUGGUGUGAUCUCGACUCACUGCAACCUCCGCCUCCCAAGUUCAAGCAAUUAUCCUGCCUCAGGCCUCUUGAGUAGCUGGGAUUACAGGCACCUGCCACCACUCCUGGCUAAUUUUUUGUAUUUUUAGUAGAGACAGGGGUUUCAUCAUGUUGGCCAGGCUGGUCUCGAACUCCUGACCUCAGGUGAUCCACCCACCUCGGCCUCCCAAAGUGCAGGGAUUACAGGCAUGAGCCAUCGAACCCGGCCCAAGAAGAAAGACAUUGAACAAGUAAUUACAGGGUAUUGGGUGUUAUGAAAGAAAAGCAUGGUACUGUAUAAUGAGGUCAUCUAAUUUAGUCUGGGGUGACAAGGAAUGCCUACUAAAGAAGGUAUCGUUUAAGACAUACCUGGGGAAUAGCGGUAGUGAAAAUAGAAGCUCCAGAAAUGCAGGGACCAUGGCUGACAUGUUUACCAUGCCAGUGUCUGGCAUGGAAGAGGCCCAAUUCCUUUGGUUGAAAGGAUGAAGUAAUCUAGCUGAAUAAAGGGUGUGUGCGUGCACGCAGGUGUGUUUGUAGUUAACCUUCCUUUAGCUCAGCUUAGGAAACAGCUUUUGUAAAACUGCGUAACUAGUAGUAGGUGAGAGAGGAAUACGAAUGAUAUACACACCAUUAAAGACAACUUACUAACAGCAUGA